rnacentral:rRNA from 1 species
UACGUAGGGUGCGAGCGUUGUCCGGAAUUAUUGGGCGUAAAGGGCUCGUAGGCGGUUUGUCGCGUCGGGAGUGAAAACCAGGUGCUUAACACCUGGCUUGCUUUCGAUACGGGCAGGCUAGAGGUAUGCAGGGGAGAACGGAAUUCCAGGUGUAGCGGUGAAAUGCGUAGAUAUCUGGAGGAAUACCGGUGGCGAAGGCGGCAUCCUGGACCGGCAUUGACGCUGAGGAGCGAAAGCUAGGAGAGCAAACGGG